GUCUCAGACCUCAGUGAAUCAUUGCUUUAUGGAAUUUCAAAGCUGGGAAGAAAUAGAUCUCCAUUUUCAUUGCCAUGACGACAGAAUCAGAGAAGUGAAAAAUUGCCUCCCGAAACAGUGCACAACAGUUAACAAAGUCGCACCUUUUUAAUUAGUGGCAAGAUGACUUAACAGUAGAAUCCUUUUGUUUGAAUCCAUUUGGCUUGUCUCUCGAUCCUUAAAAAGGAGUUCUUGGAAUUAAAAAUAAACAAAACUGCAAACAAUGAUGACGACAACAACAACAAAAGCAGAAAACAACUCCAAGACCAUGUGGAUUCCUGCAACAGAGAGGAAUUGACAGGACUGCUCCAGCCAUGAAGACAGAAGAGAAACAGUCCAGAGAUGGAAGACGCUGACGGCGCCUUGCCACACUAGCAGUUAGCAGCUGUGCAUCGCUGCAGGUUUCCCAGGACCAAACCAGAGAGGGUCGGACCUGCAUUGCCACUAUUUGUCCACCAUCCAGAACUGAAAUAUCAUUGCUGACAUGUACACAUAAGGAACUGUUUGACAUUGAAAUUGGAACUCAAAAGAACUGUUGGCCCAGAAAGAAACUCACUACAGACUGAUUCAUUUGCCUCUCAGCAUAACCAUUAUUGCUUGUCUCAUUUUCGGUUCUUAUAAGUGUAUUUCUAGUAUCACAUGACCUCACUCAUCUAGGGGAAAUAAUGAACAACAUAAACUGAUGAACAAAAACAGACCCAGAGACAGGGAAGCAUUGAUCAGACUG